CCUACGGGAGGCAGCAGUAGGGAAUCUUUCACAAUGGGCGAAAGCCUGAUGGAGCAACGCCGCGUGCAGGAUGAAGGCCUUCGGGUUGUAAACUGCUUUUAUAAGCGAGAAAUAUGAUGGUAACUUAUGAAUAAGGAUCGGCUAACUACGUGCCAGCAGCCGCGGUCAUACGUAGGAUCCGAGCAUUAUCCGGAGUGACUGGGUGUAAAGAGUUGCGUAGGUGGCAUAAUAAGUAGCUAGUGAAAUCUGGUGGCUCAACCAUUCAGACUAUUAGCUAAACUGUUAAGCUCGAGACCGUUAGGGGUAACUAGAAUUUCUAGUGUAGGAGUGAAAUCCGUAGAUAUUAGAAGGAACACCAAUAGCGUAGGCAGGUUGCUGGGACGGUUCUGACACUAAGGCACGAAAGCGUAGGGAGCAAACGGGAUUAGAUACCCCAGUAGUC
rnacentral:rRNA from 1 species